GUGCGACUUCGUAUACGUAUACUGAAUGUAUCCUGAGUGUAUCCUAUCCGGUAUACCUUCAGUAUACGUAACACGAGGAAACAC
rnacentral:pre_miRNA from 15 species